rnacentral:lncRNA from 1 species
UCUCAAUAAUACUUGUCACUUAUGUGGGAGUGUCCAACACUACGCGAAAGAGUGCCCAUAAAAUCAAAAUAAAGCUAGACUUCCUAUUCAGGGUAGAGAUUACAACCUCAAUCAGUAGGAUGCUGAAGCCAACCUAGAUGCUUUGAUUGAUACUAAUGCUUCACAUUCAUUUGUCUCACAUGCUUUUACACCAAACUUGAAUGUAUUACUUGAAAGACUUGAUUCUAUGUUAUUUGUGUCUACUCGUAGAAGUA